GACGAACGCUGGCGGCGUGCUUAACACAUGCAAGUCGAACGGAAAGGCCCUGCUUUUGUGGGGUGCUCUAGUUGCGAACGGGUGAGUAACACGUGAGUAACCUGCCCUUGACUUUGGGAUAACUUCAGGAAACUGGGGCUAAUACCGGAUAGGAGCUCCUGCUGCAUGGUGGGGGUUGGAAAGUUUCGGCGGUUGGGGAUGGACUCGCGGCUUAUCAGCUUGUUGGUGGGGUAGUGGCUUACCAAGGCUUUGCCGGGUAGCCGGCCUGAGAGGGUGACCGGCACCAUUGGGACUGAGAUAAGGCCCAGACUCCUACGGGAGGCAGUGGUGGGGAAUAGUGCACAAUGGGCGGAAGCCUGAUGCAGCAAUGCCGCGUGCGGGAUGACGGCCUUCGGGUUGUAAACCGCUUUCGCAUGUGACGAAGCGUGAGUGACGGUAAUGGGUAAAGAAGCACCGGCUAACUCCGUG
rnacentral:rRNA from 1 species